CUUCACAAUAUUAUUAGAGAGAGAAAUGAGAGAGCUUAUCCAGAAUGCAACGAAAUCCAUUAUUUAGUGUUAUUUUUAUUAGUCGAGUGUGAAGUUCUAUAAAGGGUUGGAAGGUGUUUGUUGAGUUUAGUAACAAAAAGAAAAGAAAGAAUAGUAAGAGCAAGUCCAACAUGGCAACGAGCAAAAGCCACCACAUUUCUACACCUAACUACCGUUUCCUCCCAAUCUUAGAAACCGAUUAUUCCCUCUCCGAUUCACCCUCCUUCGAUUUCGACGACUCAGAUCUCUUCAACUCACCCCCAUCCAACGACUCACACUCCUUCCGUAAAACCCGUCACUCUUCACGCUAUUCCAAAUCUUCUGUUUCCACCUCUCUUCGUCCCGCGUCUCUUCCGGUCAACGUUCCCGACUGGUCAAAGAUCUUAGGCCACGAGUACAGAGGGAAUCGGAAAAUAGACAACCACCGCGAUGACGAUGAUGACGGCAGCGAUGACGAUGACGGUGAACGUGGUGGUGCCGGUGGUGGGAGAGUGCCGCCGCAUGAGUUUCUUGCGAGGACGAGAAUGGCUUCGUUGUCUGUGCACGAAGGAGUAGGGAGAACCCUGAAAGGACGCGAUCUGAGUAGGGUUCGAAAUGCAAUUUGGGCCAAAACCGGGUUUCAAGACUAAACCGAUCUACCAAAAUAUAACAAUCAUCAUUCAUCAAUUUUUAUUAUCUUUUAUCACAUUUUUGCUUUUAUUUUCUUAAUUAAUAACUAGCGCUUUUCACCAACUCUUCAUUUUUUGUUUAUUACAAUCAUUUUACAUGUAUGAGAUGCGGAUUAUUAUAUCGAAAUCUGAUUUUCCGAUUUCCGUUUUGAGGAAUUGGAGUUCUGAACUGUGUAUUGUGAUCAUAACAUGAAAAUGGGUUAGGGUGGGUCCAUUAGUAGGAGGAGUAGUUCAAUCAUUGAACUACUCCUAAACCCUAAACCUAAGGCUAUAUGAACUCUACUUUAGAAAGUAAAGGUAAAUACAAAUUUUCGAGAUAUAAUUA
rnacentral:lncRNA from 1 species